UUUCCCUUUCCUCUCUCUUUUCUCUCAUUUCCAUCAGCCAUCAAUCUCCAAAACCUUACACAAAGUUGUGCAAGGUCACUCGAAAUCAAUUAGAAACAUCUCUUACGUCUCUCUAUCGAGGAAUCCAACCGGGUAUUUCCUGUCUCAGCACUCAAAAUUCAAAACCCAAUUUUGGAACCCUAAGCUCAAAACAUCGUUGGCCUGAUUUCUCCUUCGUUCUUUCAAAUCUAACUUACAGAUUUGUCUGCUUUGUCCCUAGGUUAUGAAGCUAUUUGAUUUCAUUUUCCAUUUUUGUUGAUUAGAUUUGAAACCCCUAAUCUGAAACCUUAGAAUCAAAGAGGCAACUUCAAAUCUCCAGAUUUCCUUCAUGUUCUAUUAAAUCGGAGCAUGCAUGAGCACAUUUCAGAGCCUCAUCAUGAUUAUUCGAAGUCCAGAGGUCAAAUGCAAUGAUAUAUGGACAUUGGAGGUUUGACCGAUGGGUUUUGCCUUCAACGGUCAACCCUCUUCACUUAGAAAAAUUUGUUCAUCAUUUCCCCCUCUGUCUCUUAGAUUUUAUCACUCAAUUUUGCUACGAUCAUCAAUCUUUCGUCACUUUCCACUCAUGAUUUUGAAUCCAUUGAAACUCUAGAGCCUUAAUGGCACUAUAAAUAGGGCCUUUAAUGUUCUCACCUAACAUCAUCUACACAACCACCUAACACUGAGGAAAAAUACACUAAGAACAUCCGAUAAAGGCAUAAAAUCAAUACAAUAGUUGUAGAUUUUCUUCGACUAAGGCUAAGCUCUUACUCGAAUUCUGAUUUUUAUUCUGAGGUGGUCAUUUGGUUGAAGUCUUCUGAUUUUUCGGAUCCUAAACGGCAAAACAAGCUCUUCUUUGGUCUGCUGCCCUCGAAAAGGUCAGCACACCUCCAACUCCUCUCUCUUCUGAUCAUCUUAUUUGAAUAUUAUGAAUAUGCUUGUUGUCUUCUGUGAACUAUAGUCGUUUAUGAUGCUUAUAACUAGUAUAGAAAUGUUAUUUAGUUUAUGAUAAGAUGUCUGCUUAUGAUCACUUGUCAUGCUUCUAAGUAUUUAAUUAAUGCUGAUCAAGCUAUUAUGUGACCUCUAAUGACCUUCAUUUUCGAGUAUAAAAAGUCUACAUGAUUAUGUUUUAAUGUGCCUUAAUGACUUCUCAUGUUCACUUAGAUUUAAUAAUUUCUAUUGAUGAUUUUGUUGUGAUCUCAAUCUCUACACACUAUUUUCCUGCAUCCUGUUGCCUUAUGGUCGAGAUCACUGUCUGAUAAUCCUCAUUAGGACAAAACCUGAGAGUUCAUAGUUUACACCCUUCACCAUUUAACUGAAGUCUGAGAAAUGCAAGUGUUUUAAACGCUCUCUUCCUGUAUAUCCGUGUAUGUUAAUUCUGAGAACAACUUUCUAAGUCUUCUUUAUUAUGUUCAUGUCUGAUUGAUUGACUGCACAUAUAUGAGAUACUUUUACUAACCUAAACUCUUAGGAAUACCAAUAAUCCUUCCGUACAUACUCUGUUAAGGUUAAGUUAUCCAUUUUCAUAACAAUAGGUCAUAGUUUUUGUUUGUUAAAGUUGAAUAGUAAUUGCUGUUAAUAUAAAGAUAUUUUUCUCAUGUUUAGAUAUAAAAUCUCAGUCUGUAUAUCUGAGUUGAACUUAUUUUGGCAUAACACUUUCUUUGUCUAUAACCUUCUCAUGACAUUGCUGACUUCCUUUGUAAAAUCAUAAAGUAUCUGUGCAUAGUUGAUGUUAUAUGUUUCCCUGUUUUGCCUUCAUGAUUACAUGCCUGUGUUUUAAAAUAGUACUUAGCCCUCUCCUUACUGUCAACCUGAGCUGUAUCAGAUCUUUAAAUCUUAUGAAAAGUUCUUCAUUGAUCCUACAUGAACAUAAUAUUUUAUUUAAGGUUAACACUGUUAUGAAUGUGGUCCUGUUGAGCACCUUAGGAAUUCCAUAUUCAAUUCUGUGAACCUGUAGUCAUAUUGAGAGUGUUGAUCAUGUUUCUGAUAUCUCUGAUAACUUUUGUAAAAGAGGUUAGUUGUAACUGUUUGUUUGAUCCUUUAUUGAUGCCCUUUUAAAAGGUUGCAAGUAGUGUUAUUAACCCAUGCAUGUAUUGGUGACAAGACCUGAGCUAAUCAACCUAUAAUUAGUCUAUCGUGGUAGAAAUAUUUAUAUUUUAGGGUUGCUUCACACCUGAAUUCUGUAUUCUUUACCUUUCCUUUGAAUGUAUUUCCCCAUUAUUAGACAUUUAACAAUAUGCCAUGAUAUUUCUGUUUCUCUCUGUAACGAUCCGACCAGUCAUUUUAAGCUCUAGCACGCCAUUCAGCAGUUUGAGGCCAUGAGCAGCUUCAUUUCAGGUAUUAUGACUUGUACGCAUUGUCGGAAUUGAAUUUUGGGUUGUUCGGAGUUGAUUUGGAAAGAGUAUUCUCAUUUCAGAAACUUUAAGUUGAAAGAAUUAGCUAAGAUUGGAUUUUUGAGUAAACGACCUCGAAAUUGGGAUUUGAAGGUUCCAACAGGUUCCUAUGAUGAUUUCGGACUUGGGCGUAUGUCCGGAUCGGAUUUUGGAAGACCCGGAAACGUUUUGGCGCCUAUUGUGGAAGUUAUCAUUUUGGAGGAAUUUCAUAAGUUUGGGUUGAAGUGCAUUUCAGGGUAAUCAAUGUCCGUUUGGGAUUCUGAGUCUGGGAAUAGCUUCGUAUGAUGAUUCUGGAGUUGGGAGCACGAUCAGAAAUGAAUUCGGAGGUCCGUAGGUCAUUUUGAAGUCAUUUGGCUAAAGAUAGAAAUUAGAAGGUUUUUUAGAAGUUUGAUCGAGAGUUUGACUUUUUGAUAUCGGGGUCAUAUUCCAAUUCCAAAAGUUGAAGCAGGUCUGUAAUGUCGAAUAUGACUUAUGUGCAAAAUUUGAGGUCAAUCGGACGUGAUUUGACGGGUUUCCGCAUCGAAUGUAGAAGUUUGAAAUUUCAAACUUCAUCAAGUUUGGAUUGGAGUACGAUUCAUGAUUUCGACGUUGUUUGAUGUGAUUUGAGGCCUCGAGCGAGUUUGUAUCAUGUUUUGGGACAUGUUGGUAUAAUUGGUUGAAGUUUCGAGGGUCUCGGGUGGAUUUUUGAAGGCUAACGGAUCGAUUUCGGAAAUUUGAAGCUGCUGAAAAUCUACUGCUUUUUCUGCUGCAGUUGCUGUUUUGGACAGUAAUGGUGCAAUCGAGGAGGCUACUUUAAAAGCUUAUAUCUCGAAAUCCAUAAGGAAUCUGAAAAUAUGCAAAACAUAAAAGUUGUUGCCCUUGCAUUUUAGUUUCCGAAAAGUUAAACCACUUAUGAUUUGGACAUUUUAUCAGAAAGUUAUGAUCGAUUUAAGAUGGUUGGUGGAGCAGUUUCGACAGAAUUUUCUGAUGCAUAGAGCUGACUUUAGAAGCUCAUAUCUCGUAAUAUAUAAAGAUUUAUAUGGUGUACAACCUAUAAAAUGAAAGAUCUUCGAGUCUAGUUUCUAUAUCUUCAAAGCGUUUGUCAUUUGGAUAUUUCCACAAGGAGUUACGGGCGUUUUAACAGAAGGUGUAUACCGA
rnacentral:lncRNA from 1 species